GCUAUCAGAGUGGGACUAAGCCAUGCGAGUCGACACAGCAAUGUGUGGCAUACGGCUCAGUAACACGUAGUCAACAUGCCCAGGGGACGUGGAUAACCUCGGGAAACUGAGGAUAAACCGCGAUAGGUCACUACUUCUGGAAUGGGUAAUGACCCAAACCUACAUGGCCCCUGGAUUGGACUGCGGCCGAUCAGGCUGUUGGUGAGGUAAUGGCCCACCAAACCUGUAACCGGUACGGGCUCUGAGAGGAGGAGCCCGGAGAUGGGCACUGAGACAAGGGCCCAGGCCCUAUGGGGCGCAGCAGGCGCGAAACCUCUGCAAUAGGCGAAAGCUUGACAGGGUUACUCUGAGUGAUUUCCGUUAAGGAGAUCUUUUGGCACCUCUAAAAAUGGUGCAGAAUAAGGGGUGGGCAAGUCUGGUGUCAGCCGCCGCGGUAAUACCAGCACCCCGAGUGGUCGGGACGUUUAUUGGGCCUAAAGCAUCCGUAGCCGGUUCUACAAGUCUUCCGUUAAAUCCACCUGCUUAACAGAUGGGCUGCGGAAGAUACUAUGGAGCUAGGAGGCGGGAGAGGCAAGCGGUACUCGAUGGGUAGGGGUAAAAUCCGUUGAUCCAUUGAAGACCACCAGUGGCGAAGGCGGCUUGCCAGAACGCGCUCGACGGUGAGGGAUGAAAGCUGGGGGAGCAAACCGGAUUAGAUACCCGGGUAGUCCCAGCUGUAAACGAUGCAGACUCGGUGAUGAGU
rnacentral:rRNA from 1 species